AGGCAUGCUUAAUGUGAUUUUUAGAGGAGCAAAAGGUCUAAAUCUCAUUGAUGAAGAUUCCACUAUUACAGAGCAGUUGUUGCUGUUAUUAACUUAGCGUUAAGACAACAUUUUUCAGAGCAUGAAUCAAUCAUUAAUUAAUCUUUCUCAUCACCUUCUUCAUAGAUGCAAGAAGAAGGUUCCAGCCAGCAAGCGCUUCACCAUCCACAGAACAUCCAAUGUCUUAACCCUUUCCCUCAAGCGCUUUGCCAACUUCAGCGGAGGGAAGAUCACCAAGGAUGUAGGCUAUCCGGAAUUCCUCAACAUACGUCCGUAUAUGUCCCAGAAUAAUGGUGAUCCUGUCAUGUAUGGACUCUAUGCUGUCCUGGUGCACUCGGGCUACAGCUGCCAUGCCGGGCACUAUUACUGCUACGUGAAGGCAAGCAAUGGACAGUGGUACCAGAUGAAUGAUUCCUUGGUCCAUUCCAGCAACGUCAAGGUGGUUCUGAACCAGCAGGCCUACGUGCUGUUCUAUCUGCGAAUUCCAGGCUCUAAGAAAAGUCCCGAGGG
rnacentral:sRNA from 1 species